GACGAACGCGGCGGGCUGCCUAAUACAUGCAAGUAGAACGCUGAAGGAGGAGCUUGCUUCUCUGGAUGAGUUGCGAACGGGUGAGUAACGCGUAGGUAACCUGCCUGGUAGCGGGGGAUAACUAUUGGAAACGAUAGCUAAUACCGCAUAAGAGUAGAUGUUGCAUGACAUUUGCUUAAAAGGUGCAAUUGCAUCACUACCAGAUGGACCUGCGUUGUAUUAGCUAGUUGGUGGGGUAACGGCUCACCAAGGCGACGAUACAUAGCCGACCUGAGAGGGUGAUCGGCCACACUGGGACUGAGACACGGCCCAGACUCCUACGGGAGGCAGCAGUAGGGAAUCUUCGGCAAUGGACGGAAGUCUGACCGAGCAACGCCGCGUGAGUGAAGAAGGUUUUCGGAUCGUAAAGCUCUGUUGUAAGAGAAGAACGAGUGUGAGAGUGGAAAGUUCACACUGUGACGGUAUCUUACCAGAAAGGGACGGCUAACUACGUGCCAGCAGCCGCGGUAAUACGUAGGUGGCAAGCGUUAUCCGGAUUUAUUGGGCGUAAAGAGAGUGCAGGCGGUUUUCUAAGUCUGAUGUGAAAGCCUUCGGCUUAACCGGAGAAGUGCAUCGGAAACUGGAUAACUUGAGUGCAGAAGAGGGUAGUGGAACUCCAUGUGUAGCGGUGGAAUGCGUAGAUAUAUGGAAGAACACCAGUGGCGAAGGCGGCUACCUGGUCUGCAACUGACGCUGAGACUCGAAAGCAUGGGUAGCGAACAGG
rnacentral:rRNA from 1 species